rnacentral:tRNA from 1 species
UUCUGGUAGACCGCUUCGGCGUGCGUCGGCUGGUGGCCGCCGGCGCUCUGGCGACCGGGGCCAGCUGGGUGCUGGCAGCCCAGACCACAAC